UUGCGGAACGCACUAGUGCCGAGCUCAGGCGGACGACGCGGCAAACGGCAGAGACGCCAUUACUACCGUUGCGUUUCUCUAGUGUGCGCGUCUUAGAUCUUUCCGUUUCACAGCGCCGGGGACCGGAAUCGUUCUACCUUUUACUUCCGUACUUCGCUUUCUUUCGUCACGUCUGAGUCGCGUGCGAUUUUAUUGUUCCGUGAAUUCCACGCGGAUUCCUUUGUACGCCGAUACGCUGCCGUGAACAGUUCGACGCAGGUUCUUGUACGAGCCGCAAAAUGCCGGGUUUUAGCAGCGUUGGCACAUUUAAAAUCUUCAUUGGUAAUUUAGCCGAUAAGACCUCGAACGCAGACAUAAAGCCAUUGUUCGAGAAGUAUGGAAAAGUAGUGGAAUGCGAUGUGGUAAAGAAUUAUGGCUUCGUGCAUAUGGAAAAUGAAGAAGCUGGUCGAAAUGCGAUACAAAAUCUGAAUGGACACAUGGUUCAUGGUCAGCCGAUAAAAUGUGAAGCUGCAAAGAGUCGCAAGGGACCCAACACUCCCACGACGAAGAUCUUUGUGGGCAAUCUUACAGAUAACACUAAGGCGCCGCAGGUUCGCGAACUGUUUGCUAAGUACGGCACUGUUGUUGAGUGCGAUAUCGUAAGAAACUACGGUUUCGUUCAUCUGGAGGCAACUGGCGACGUGAACGAUGCCAUCAAGGAGCUGAAUGGUCAGAUCGUGGAUGGACAACCGAUGAAGGUCCAGAUAUCUACUAGUCGAGUACGACAGAGGCCAGGCAUGGGGGAUCCGGAACAAUGCUACCGAUGCGGACGAGGCGGUCACUGGUCGAAGGAAUGUCCCAAGGGAGGGAUGGGAGGUGGACCAGAUAGGAAUGGAUACAGGGACCGAAUGUUUGGACGCGAUCCUUAUCCUCCACCGCCGCCACCACCGUUCCUACGGGACCGGCUCAUGGGUGGUGGCCGCUUUGGGGAUUACGAAAGCUACUACGACAGGCGCGGCUUCGAGGACACCAGGGACCUCUACGAGAGGCGGUUUACGGGUAUGACAGGGCCCAGUGACAUGGGUUCUACCAUGUGCGGGCUAGACUUUCCACCAAUGACAAUGCCACCUCUACCACCAAGACGAGACCCAAUGCCUCCUAUGCCUCCUCUAGGUAUGGGAUCCAUGCGUGACACUGGCUUCUCCCGUGGUAACGAGUAUGGAAUGUUCAGCCGCCGAUCACCCCCUCCAAGUGGCAACAACGGCCGGUUCAGUAGAGGCAUGUACGAGGACUUCAGCCGAGAUUCGUUUGAAGAGCGUAGAACAAUUGGCACCGCGGAUGAGGUGGUCGCGCACGAGCUAGCAUAUAGCGCGAAUAAGUCGCUUCAUCAUGCAUACACGGAUGUGGAAUACUAAUUCUCCCUCUAUAUGUGUUAAAACAAGGGAACACUGGGAAAUAAUAUCGAAUUCCGAUAUAAGCCUGCUACGUACCUUUCUCGUGUUAACAGUACGAGAUGAGUACCUGUUUUGUACAUUUUUUUUUUAUACGUGACUCACGUGUGUUUUUGCUAGUUCUUAUUUUUUAAUAAAUAUCAAAACACGUGCGAACGACGUCUCCUUAAAUUGUGACUGAGAAUUCAACCCUUUUUCUAGCUGGCUCUCUCGAACUAGGCUGAGUUUGUUCGUCGAAAGCGAUUGUAUCGUUUGUAGAUUGAAACUCUAACUGAGAAGAAGAAGGAGACAGUCUUCCCAUCUUUAAACUCAAUUGCUUACGUAUUCAAAUAUAUGUUUAUUACCUAACUAUGAAUAUUGUAGACAUGUAUAUUUACAGCAUCAAUCUAUUGAUAUGACUUUCACGCGUUCUUCCUCUUCUCGGUUAAUCUGUUGUCCCUAUUCCAUAAGCACGGAGGAAAGAUUUGCAAUCCUUUCGCCGUAUUCACAUCUUUAGUAGUGCGAUUAUCGUUCUCUUGCAUAAACUUCCGAUUAAAGCCAAAGUUAAAGCUGUUUCCAGAAGUACCAAGCGGACACGGAAAUGUAAAUAGACGAGAGUAAAUAUUCCUCUUUUUUUUAUAUAUCUUAAGUCGAUUUUGUAUUAUGGUAAUACUCAUAUUGUUAUGUACCAGUCAAACUUGCAGACUCGGAGGUUGAGCAGGUCUACAAAAUCGGACUUUGCUGAAGAUCGCUUUUCCAUCCUACCAACGGCAAGACACGGAGGUGACCGGCCACGAUCUGUAGCUUAUACGCAGUCACUUCUCCUUCCCCUCAAAGUUACUUUAAAAGACAUCGUGCAGAAUCCUCGGAGAUAACCGAGCGAAUCUCUCUCAGAGUGACUUUGGAACACGAAUGUGUAGAACCAGGCACGCUACUCGAUCAUCUCUCCAUAUUGAGAUGCGGACGUGAUAGCCCUCUACGCCGGCAUCAUCUACGAAGGAUGUACCCUUGAAGGAGCGAGCGUGCCAGGCUCGAGAGACGAGAGGGUUUCAAGUAGAAGCGACGCGAGAGGUCUGGUGGAGGAGCGACAUGGUGUAGCGAGAGGUAAUUGUUCAUCACAGCACUCUAUAACUACAUCGAAAGAGAGCGGGGGAGAGUGCGAAUGGGAGAUGUAUACUGUAAUAGAGACGCGGGAUUGCGCUACCGCAUUCAAGACGCGGGUCCAGCCUCUCAAUAUUGUUCUGAUACGCGUAAGAAAAAUGAAUAAAAGUAAUAUAAAGAAAAGAAAAAAAA